GUGAAAGUGCCAGGUUGAAGGAUGACCGGGUGCCAGAUUCCCACCUUCCAACUGCUGGACAGCACGCUGGCUGUAAUAGAGUGCCGUCUGAAGCUCCGUUUUCUCACAUAUGUGAAAAGAGAGGCCCAAAGAGCUCCAGGAAUUUGCCCUAUAUCAUAUGCCCAGCAGAUGGAGAGGAUUCAAACCCAGAAUUCUUAAGCAGUACCUGGGAGUUCUUCCACAAUCUUAACAAUUACCCUCCACCACCCCUUGGGCCCUCUGUCCCCAGGAGCCUGGCCAGCCAAGACUCACAUCCUCAGUAGACUCAAAGGAAACUGAUGCUUCAGAAAGAUGCCCCAUAUUUAUCCUGUGGCACUCGAAGUACCCCAGGUGGAGAUGACAUGAGGAAGAUUCAAGCUGUCAAGUUCAGUUUCCCAAGAUCUGUUCCACAGAAGAUAGGCAGAUCUCACUCCAGCAACCACUGACUGAGGGGCACUCUGGUCCCAGAACAAUGGAGAAUUCAAAUCUGAGGUGGAGAACUCAGAAACAAUGUUAAAAUCUCUCUGGAGAGUAGAAGCCUGGGAGAAAACCAAAUCAAACCUGUUCUCCCAUUGCCACCCAGAGACACUGUUAACGUGUUGAGCUCAUGGGGGACUUGUUGGCUUUUCACACUGUCAAUGUCUGUAUUAAGGAAGUAAGGCAGCCUGAAACCUCUCUCUCCUAGGUCCCAGGGUCCCCAUUCCCCUUCCAGCUGGAAACCUGUGCUGCAACCAGAGGAACCUGAAAUGGGCAAAAACACUUAGGGGACUGGGUCCUAAGUCCAGAGACCGGUCUCGUUGCAGUAAUGACAGUUCCUAGAGGGACUGCGACAUCACUACAUUCCACUCCUCGGUGGAGUGGUGGGGGACACGUGAGUGCAAUGCCCAAGUUGCCGCUUUGAGAUUCGGGAGGGGGGUCACAGGAUUGGGACCCAGGUCCUUAGAGACGCAAGCCCAAAGAGCCCAGGGAGGUCAGGCUUGGGGCGGUGGGAGGUGAGGG